GACGUAGGGGGCGAGCGUUGUUCGGAUUUACUGGGCGUAAAGGGCGCGUAGGCGGCCACCGCAAGUCGACUGUGAAAUCUCCGGGCUUAACCCGGAAAGGUCAGCCGAUACUGCGGGGCUAGAGUGCAGAAGGGGCAACUGGAAUUCUCGGUGUAGCGGUGAAAUGCGUAGAUAUCGAGAGGAACACCUGCGGCGAAGGCGGGUUGCUGGGCUGACACUGACGCUGAUGCGCGAAAGCUAGGGGAGCGAACGGG
rnacentral:rRNA from 1 species